rnacentral:rRNA from 1 species
GAUGAACGCUAGCUACAGGCUUAACACAUGCAAGUCGCGGGGCAGCAUGGGGGUUGCUUGCAAUCCCCGAUGGCGACCGGCGCACGGGUGAGUAACGCGUAUCCAACCUGCCCUUCACCACGGGCUAACCCGGCGAAAGUCGGACUAAUACCGUAUGUUGUCCAUUGACGGCAUCCGAUUUGGACGAAAGGUUUGGCGGUGAAGGAUGGGGAUGCGUCCGAUUAGCUGGACGGCGGGGUGACGGCCCACCGUGGCGACGAACGGUAGGGGUUCUGAGAGGAAGGUCCCCCACACUGGAACUGAGACACGGUCCAGACUCCUACGGGAGGCAGCAGUGAGGAAUAUUGGUCAAUGGGCGUAAGCCUGAACCAGCCAAGUAGCAUGCAGGAUGACGGCCCUAUGGGUUGUAAACUGCUUUUAUGCGGGGAUAAAGUGGCCCACGUGUGGGUUUUUGCAGGUACCGCAUGAAUAAGGACCGGCUAAUUCCGUG